AUUGAACGCUGGCGACAUGCCUUACACAUGCAAGUCGAACGGCAGCACGGGUGCUUGCACCUGGUGGCGAGUGGCGAACGGGUGAGUAAUACAUCGGAACGUACCUUAUCGUGGGGGACAACGCAGCGAAAGUUGCGCUAAUACCGCAUACGCCCUGAGGGGGAAAGCGGGGGAUCGUAAGGCCUCGCGCGAUUAGAGCGGCCGAUGUCUGAUUAGCUUGUUGGUGAGGUAAAAGCUCACCAAGGCGAUGAUCAGUAGCUGGUCUGAGAGGACGAUCAGCCACACUGGGACUGAGACACGGCCCAGACUCCUACGGGAGGCAGCAGUGGGGAAUUUUGGACAAUGGGGGCAACCCUGAUCCAGCAAUGCCGCGUGAGUGAAGAAGGCCUUCGGGUUGUAAAGCUCUUUUGUCAGGGAAGAAACACCGGCUCUAACACAGUCUGGGAAUGACGGUACCUGAAGAAUAAGCACCGGCUAACUACGUGCCAGCCGCCGCCGUAA
rnacentral:rRNA from 1 species